UACGGAGGGUGCAAGCGUUAAUCGGAAUUACUGGGCGUAAAGCGCACGCAGGUGGCUGAGUCAGUCGAUUGUGAAAGCCCUGGGCUUAACCUGGGAAUUGCAGUCGAUACUACUCAGCUAGAGUAUGGGAGAGGGUAGUGGAAUUCCCGGUGUAGCGGUGAAAUGCGUAGAUAUGCGGAGGAACACCGAUGGCGAAGGCAAUCCCCUGGGCCUGCACUGACGCUCAUGCACGAAAGCGUGGGGAGCAAACAGG
rnacentral:rRNA from 1 species